rnacentral:lncRNA from 1 species
GGGCUGGAUCUUUCUUUUAAUUUCAUUUACAAAUAUUUGGGAGAGGGGAGGUCUUGAACUCCUCGGCCUCAAGCGAUCCUCCUGCCUCAGCAUCUAGAGUAACUAAGGAUUAAGGGCAUGAGCCACCACCAGGGCUAUGCACGGGAUCUUGGAGGAGCAGAAAAUCCCAGGGGCAAUUGGCUUGGCCGGGAGAGUAGACUGUUUUGGGUCAGGCCAACCCAAGCAUCUGGAGGUGUACGUGCUGGAAGGACAGUCAGAUGGUGUGUGUAGGAGAGAGGGGGAAGGCGCAGGGGAAGGCCUGGGGAAGCAGGCACCUGAACAACUGUCCCACAAAGCAGAAACAUCAUGGGCUUCAGAGGCAGGCGGUGCAGGACAGUUCUCCCAGUGGCCUUGAACUGACCUGGUUCUCCCCUCCUUUCUUGCUUGUAGUUCUCAAGAAUAACUGUAGACGCCUGUAAUCCCAGCACUUUGGGAGGCCGAGGCGGGCAGAUCACUUGAGAUCAGAAGUUCAAGACCAGCCUAGCCAACAUGCUGAAACCCCGUCUUUACCAAAAAUACAAAAAUUAUCCAAGCGUGGUGGUGGGCACCUGUAAUCCCAGCUACACGGGAGGCUGAGCAGGGAGAAUCCCUCGAACCUGGGAGGCGGAGGUUGCAGUGAGCUGAGACAGUGCCACUGCACUCCAGCCUGGGUGAUGGAGCAAGACUGUCUCAAUAAAUAAAUAAAUAAAACUGUAGAGUGUGCAGAGAAUGCAACAUCCUGAGGGAAGGAAGGACUGGCCAGCACAGCCAUGCUCUGUUCCAGUCCCCCUAGAAAAAGCAUGUCCUUCAACACUUCAGCCCAACAUGUCACAUGGCCCCAGGGUAUAAAGCCCAGGGCAGAAGCCGGGCGCGGUGGCUUACUCCUGUAAUCCCAGCACUUUGGGAGGCCGAUGCGGGCGGAUCAUAAGGUCAGGAGAUUGAGACCAUCCUGGCUAACACGGUGAAACCCCGUUUUUACUAAAAAUACAAAAAACUAGCCAGGUGUGGUGGUGCGUGCCAGUAGUCCCAGCUACCCGGGAGGCUGAGGCAGGAGAAUUGCUUGAACCUGGGAGGCGGAAGUUGCAGUGAGCCCAGAUGGCGACACUGCACUCCAGCCUGGGAGACAGAGUGAGACUCUGUAUCAAACAAACAAACAAACAAACGAAAAACAGGGCGGGCUGGUUUCUGGGGUCCCUCAGCUUCAGUACAAGUCUGGCUGGCUGGGCGUGGUGGCCCAUGCCUGUUAUCACAACACUUUGGGAGGCCGAGGCGGGUGGAUCACCUGAGGUCAGAAGUUCAAGACCAGCCUGGCCAACAUGGCGAAACUGUUUCUACUAAAAAAAAAAAAAAUAGCUGGACGUGGUAGUGCACGCCUGUAAUCCCAGCUACCAGGGAGGCUGAGGCAGGAAAAUUGCUUGAAUCCCAGGGUUCACACCACUGCACUCCAGCCCGGGUGAAAGAGCGAGACUCCAUCUCACAACAAACCAACAACAAAAAAAAAAGUCAGGCAUGCACAGACAACGGUCCAUCCCCCAGCUGCCUCAGCAGCUUUCCUGAGCCGUAGGGGUCCAGCUCCAAAUGAAUCCCAGCCUUCUGUUGUCCCUUAGUGCCUACCUAUAGGUAAUAAACACGUUGCAUGUCACUUGUGUUUGCCUCGCUGGACUCAGCGUUAUGUAACUUGUGGGUGUUUGCCUCACUGGACUCUGACAAGUUGGUAACUAGUGUGCAGUGAACCUGCCUAACAGACAGCUGGGUUCUGAUCCAGCUGUGUGACCUUGAGCAAGAUACGGAACCUCCCUGAGUUUCUGUUGGGUCAUUGGUGAAGUGGGACCAAUGGCUACUUGAAAGGAUUGUUGGGAAGAUUUGGAGAGAAAAUAAUGUGAAAGUACCUAGCACAGAGCCUGGUACUGAAAAUACCUUAAACCUAUGUUCAUUUCUUAAAAAGUCAAGAGGAGGCUGCUGCUGCCUUGGGCAGGCACGCUGGGAGGUAAGGGGGCAGGCACGCUGCGAGGUAAGGGGGCAGGCGCGCUGCGAGGUAAGGGGGCAGGCGCGCUGGGAGGUAAGGGGGCAGGCGCGCUGCGAGGUAAGGGGGCAGGCGCGCUGGGAGGUAAGGGGGCAGGCGCGCUGCGAGGUAAGGGGGCAGGCGCGCUGCGAGGUAAGGGGGCAGGCGCGCUGGGAGGUAAGGGGGCAGGAGCGCUGCGAGGUAAGGGGGCAGGCGCGCUGCGAGGUAAGGGGGCAGGCGCGCUGGGAGGUAAGGGGGCAGGCAGGAGGCAAGUUUCCAUUCCUGUGAACUGGGAAUCUAUGUGCCUUUUGGAACCCAGCUGUUUUUAUUUCUUGGGUCAAGGUACAACCUGCUUUAUCUGGCCCUGCCUACGAGGGAUGCCCCAGGUUCACCAAUCAAAACAAAUAAAAACUAAAAAUGAGGUUGGUUGGGGAGGAAGGGGGCUGGGAGAUGGGAGAUAAUAGUUAAAGAGUAUGGGGUUUCUUUCUUAGGUGAUGACAAUAUU